rnacentral:misc_RNA from 1 species
UUCAAUAUUAUUAUAUAUUCAAGGUAUGCUCACGCAUCACUCAUAAAUAUAUAUAUAUAUAAAAUUAAUUAUUAGGCACGCCUUAUGUUGCACAUGUAAUUGAUGACUUGUUGUUUAUGUUGCUUUAUGGCAAUUUGGAGUCAUGUGCGUGAGUUUGGUGUGUGUGGUGUGUAUAUGGAUAUGGGUAGGACAGUAAAUGUGGCUGGAGCUUGACUCACUGGGACUAGAUCCUUAUUAUGAAUAAGUCGGGGUAGGCACGGCUCAAGUUGAUCUCAUUGGCCCCUACAUUUGGAUAUUAAGAGAAAGUCCAGCUUUGAGUUGAUCUUGCUGGCAGAAGUUGGAACUAAGAGAGCUGUAUAGGGAAUCACCUCCUAUAUAUAUAUAUGUGUGACUAUGAAUUUUGCACACAGGUAUGUGAGUGCUCCAGAUUGCCUUUGGUGUGAUUAUGACUUGAUUUGUUUGAAUUGUGUGAAGAUGAUACAUUUCAUUCUUAGGAUGCAAUUGACUUAGAUAGUUAUAGAAAUUAUAUGUAAAAUCAAUAUCUUACUCUA